UGGGGAAUAUUGGACAAUGGGCGCAAGCCCGAUCCAGCCAUGCCGCGUGAGUGAUGAAGGCCCUAGGGUUGUAAAGCCCUUUCACCGGUGAAGAUAAUGACGGUAACCGGAGAAGAAGCCCCGGCUAACUUCGUGCCAGCAGCCGCGGUAAUACGAAGGGGGCUAGCGUUGUUCGGAUUUACUGGGCGUAAAGCGCACGUAGGCGGACUAUUAAGUCAGGGGUGAAAUCCCGGGGCUCAACCCCGGAACUGCCUUUGAUACUGGUAGUCUUGAGUUCGAGGGAGGUGAGUGGAAUUCCGAGUGUAGAGGUGAAAUUCGGGAAUAUUCGGAGGAACACCAGUGGCGAAGGCGGCUCACUGGCUCGAUACUGACGCUGAGGUGCGAAAGCGUGGGGAGCAAACAGG
rnacentral:rRNA from 1 species